UCAGCCUUGCGAACGACCGUGGCUACAGCGCUGCGGUAAUUGGUAUUCACUAACGUGUCAAACCUCAUCGACGAACUGUAGGCUGUGAUAACUCGAGGCUGUGCGCACGGACGAGAUAGGGCUUGCAACAAAAACCGUAAAAUGAAACCGAUAACUGUAGAAAUAUAAUAUUUUAUUGACAAAUGGAAUGUUUUAUUCAGUUUAGAAUGUUAUUUAAAUAAAUAUUAUAUAAAAUAAACAUAAAUUUAUACAUCAAACAUUUGAUUUUGUUUUUUAAAGUUAAGAUUUGUUUGAAUACCCUUGCUUCCAUUGCCGUAAAAUAAACAAAUAACACUUAUACGUAGGUACGUAGAGAGUAUUAUAUUCCUUGUACUUAACAUUCCAGAGGCGCACUUUUUGUAUUUGUUUAUUCUCUUUUAAAAAUAAUUAAUAAAAUUAACGUAACUUUACCAACGUUUUAUAAGUUUGGAUGUAUCUAUCAAAUACGUCCACGCCGUCAUUUGACUGACAGUAUCCCGAUGACACUUAUCUCCUUCACAAUAGCAGCCUCAACUAGAAAGAGAGUAGUCUCACAAAGAUUUGUUGCCACUGAAGAGCACCGAGUAGAGACAGAACAAAUUUUGAUAGAGAAUCAGACAACACUAGUUCAUAUCUUAUAGCUAAUGAAUGAGAUAUGACUAAAUUAAAGUCAGCCAUUGUAUGAUUUAAUUAAAAAAAAUUUUAAAAAAUGUCAAAUAAUUUUUAUUCAAUUAAAUUUAAAAUAUUAUAAAUGGUAAUUCUUUAUGAUUCUACCAUCCAUUGUGAAGAAGGGGAGAAACCUCAAUUUUGGUUUUUAAAAUACUAAUAGAUUUUACAAUAAUACAUUUCUAAAAAUAUACACUGCCAAACAUAACAAGAGUUAUUGGAAUUAUUAGUUAAAUCAAGUUCAUUAUUGAAAAUAUAAGAUUAAAUUAUGUCAUUUAAUAGUCAUUAGUAAUUUUGAAAUAUAAGUUUCAUCUUAUAUAAUUUUCAAAUAAAAACACAAUUACAAUAAAAUUUUAUAAUUAUAAACUUGUUUCAAUUUCAAAUAAAUAAUUUUUAAUGAA